rnacentral:misc_RNA from 1 species
CAAGCCUUCUGGCGAUCUCUUAUAAAGAAAGCCCUCCAUAAUAAAUUGAAAAGGGUCCUUUGGGGAAAAGUUUUCCCUUUGCUAAGAUGAAGCCGGGGAAGGUUUUCCGGUUUAUCCCGGAGGGCUUGUAGCUCAGUUGGUUAGAGCGCGCGCUUGAUAAGCGUGAGGUCGGAGGUUCAAGUCCUCCCAGGCCCACCAAUCAUUCUAUCAAUCUAUAAGCGCUUGUGGAAAUUGCUCAUAGAAAACUUUCUUUAUUCAUUUAUGAAAAAUCUCCUUAUAGAGAGACGCUUUUCCCUUUGGGUUUGAAAACUCAAAAUUAAAGGUGUUAAAGUGGCUUUAAAGGAAAAGUGACAAAGGAUAAGGAAUAAUGAUUUAAGUUAUCCCUUUUUGGUGAUCUUGAUUUGGGUGUUUUGAAUGCGUUAUGUUUUUUAGGGGGGCCGUAGCUCAGCUGGGAGAGCACCUGCUUUGCAAGCAGGGGG